GGAAUCGGCGUAACUUAGUGGCGGACGGGUGAGUAACGCGUGGGAAACCUGCCCUGUACCGGGGGAUAACACUUAGAAAUAGGUGCUAAUACCGCAUAAGCGCACAGCUUCACAUGAGGCAGUGUGAAAAACUCCGGUGGUACAGGAUGGUCCCGCGUCUGAUUAGCCAGUUGGCAGGGUAACGGCCUACCAAAGCGACGAUCAGUAGCCGGCCUGAGAGGGUGAACGGCCACAUUGGGACUGAGACACGGCCCAAACUCCUACGGGAGGCAGCAGUGGGGAAUAUUGCACAAUGGGGGAAACCCUGAUGCAGCGACGCCGCGUGAGUGAAGAAGUAUUUCGGUAUGUAAAGCUCUAUCAGCAGGGAAGAAAAUGACGGUACCUGACUAAGAAGCCCCGGCUAACUACGUGCCAGCAGCCGCGGUAAUACGUAGGGGGCAAGCGUUAUCCGGAUUUACUGGGUGUAAAGGGAGCGUAGACGGCAUGACAAGCCAGAUGUGAAAACCCAGGGCUCAACCCUGGGACUGCAUUUGGAACUGCCAGGCUGGAGUGCAGGAGAGGUAAGCGGAAUUCCUAGUGUAGCGGUGAAAUGCGUAGAUAUUAGGAGGAACACCAGUGGCGAAGGCGGCUUACUGGACUGUAACUGACGUUGAGGCUCGAAAGCGUGGGGAGCAAACAGGAUUAGAUACCCUGGUAGUCCACGCGGUAAACGAUGAUUGCUAGGUGUAGGUGGGUAUGGACCCAUCGGUGC
rnacentral:rRNA from 1 species